rnacentral:rRNA from 1 species
GAUGAACGCUGGCGGCGUGCUUAACACAUGCAAGUCGAACGGAAAGGCCCAAGCUUGCUUGGGUACUCGAGUGGCGAACGGGUGAGUAACACGUGGGUGAUCUGCCCUGCACUUCGGGAUAAGCCUGGGAAACUGGGUCUAAUACCGGAUAGGACCACUUCUUGGAUGUUGUGGUGGAAAGUUUUUUCGGUGUGGGAUGAGCUCGCGGCCUAUCAGCUUGUUGGUGGGGUAAUGGCCUACCAAGGCAUCGACGGGUAGCCGGCCUGAGAGGGUGUACGGCCACAUUGGGACUGAGAUACGGCCCAGACUCCUACGGGAGGCAGCAGUGGGGAAUAUUGCACAAUGGGCGCAAGCCUGAUGCAGCGACGCCGCGUGGGGGAUGACGGCCUUCGGGUUGUAAACUCCUUUCGCUAGGGACGAAGCGUUUUGUGACGGUACCUGGAGAAGAAGCACCGGCUAACUACGUG